rnacentral:rRNA from 1 species
CAGCCGCCGCGGUAAUACGUAGGUGGCAAGCGUUGUCCGGAAUUAUUGGGCGUAAAGGGUGCGUAGGCGGGUUUUUAAGUCAGGGGUGAAAUCCUGGAGCUCAACUCCAGAACUGCCCUUGAUACUGGGAAUCUUGAGUAUGGGAGAGGUGAGUGGAACUGCGAGUGUAGAGGUGAAAUUCGUAGAUAUUCGGAGGAACACCAGUGGCGAAGGCGGCUCACUGGCUCGAUACUGACGCUGAGGUGCGAAAGCAUGGGGAGCAAACAGGAUUAGAGACCCCAGUAGUCCCUGUCUCUUAUAC